UACGUAGGGGGCAAGCGUUGUCCGGAAUCAUUGGGCGUAAAGCGCGUGUAGGCGGCCCGUUAAGUCCGCUGUGAAAGUCCAGGGCUCAACCCUGGAAUGCCGGUGGAUACUGUCGGGCUGGAGUCCGGAAGAGGAGAGUGGAAUUCCUGGUGUAGCGGUGAAAUGCGCAGAUAUCAGGAAGAACACCAAUGGCGAAAGCAGCUCUCUGGGACGGUACUGACGCUGAGACGCGAAAGCGUGGGGAGCGAACAGG
rnacentral:rRNA from 1 species